rnacentral:lncRNA from 12 species
GCAGGUCAUUCGGGACCAUGUUAGGUUAUUCAGAGGAACAAAAGCACAACAAACUGCCUGGAACCCUUGAUGUCUGGGAGAAGCUCACUGCACCAGCUAGCAGCUGUCCUGCCACAUUCUUGUCUGCCUGAAAGAAAAGAAAGGAAGAACGCAUGACUCCAAACGAAUGGCCUAGAAUUGGAGGCUGCUUGGCGGUAUAAGAAACGCAGAGAAAAAGAGGACUAAGAUGCACAGGGGAUUGAGGGGGAUUACACGCAGCUUCCACGAAAUGUCUUGUGCUCCUCUCUGGGAAAGGAACUGUAAAUGUCAAGGCAUCAGUCUCCCUGACAACAACUUACACAGGUAAUAUACAUUAUUUGAAGAAACCAAUUGUAAUGCAAUUCAACACAGUACCACUGAUCAAAUUACUCCUUCCAAAGACAGCAGCUGGGAAUAUUUACUAUGGAAAUAUCUGUCUUUAGAAUGAUUUCUAAAAUCAAAUUGCUGUAAACAUAACCAAGAAUUAUGAAGACUGUGUCUGUCAGGAACACCUCUUGAGGUAGGAAAAGACAGUUUUCCAAAUAAGAGAAUCUUAGGCCUUUCUUCACGCUAAACUAUACUUUAAUUGUGUGGGUGCAAUAUUUUGUGGUCAUAAACAAUGCUUACCAAAUGCAUUACUGGUUAAGUUAGGCAUAAUCUUGCAACCCUCAAACAUUUAUAAAUUCAGCUUGGGAAUCUGCUCUCAGGCACUCCAGUUUAUUACAAUAGUUUCCUUCGAGUUAGAAAAAGAAUGUGGGACGUCAGAACAAAUAUAAAGGAAAAAGG